AUUAAGUUAAAAAAAGAAAGAGAGAAUUUAUGGAACUGAUGCAUUGAAUUAGGCUUAUAAAAUUAUAGAUUUGUGCGGUAAAGUUUAAAAAAAUCAGAGUUCGGUGCUACUUGAAUUAGUUUUCUUUUAAAUGCUAUUUUUUUUACUAAAUAUGUUUUGGCAGAAGGAAGAUAUACAUUUGUAUAAUAAAAAUUAAGAUUUAUGUAAUUAAAUCAAAGGUUUUUAAAGGAAAUUUAUGUUUGUUGAAUUAGAUUUGCUGGAGCAGUCAUCUUGCAACUACUUGUAUUCUCAAUUUUAAUGAUUUUUCUUAGUAGAACUGUCUUCAAUAAUGGUAUUCGUUAUCAUUUUCCCCCCUCUCUUACUUCCACAGUUCCUCUCCCAACUAACAUUGCUAAAAGAUGGUGCUUUCCACCUGUGCCCAUUAAAGUAAA
rnacentral:misc_RNA from 1 species